ACCCAGGUGGUGUAGUGGUAGCACGAGCCCCUUGGAAAGGUGAAACGAGAGUUGAACUCCUGCCUUGGGUC